UAGGAAGGAGCAGUGGGGAAUAUUGCACAAUGGGCGCAAGCCUGAUGCAGCCAUGCCGCGUGUAUGAAGAAGGCCUUCGGGUUGUAAAGUACUUUCAGUCGUGAGGAAGGUGUUAAGGUUAAUAACCUUAGCAAUUGACGUUAGCGACAGAAGAAGCACCGGCUAACUCCGUGCCAGCAGCCGCGGUAAUACGGAGGGUGCGAGCGUUAAUCGGAAUUACUGGGCGUAAAGGGCACGCAGGCGGUUAAUUAAGUUGGAUGUGAAAUCCCCGGGCUUAACCUGGGAAUGGCAUUCAAGACUGGUUAGCUAGAGUCUUGUAGAGGGGGUAGAAUUCCAUGUGUAGCGGUGAAAUGCGUAGAGAUGUGGAGGAAUACCGGUGGCGAAGGCGGCCCCUGGACAAAGACUGACGCUCAUGUGCGAAAGCGUGGGGAGCAAACAGGGAUUAGAUACC
rnacentral:rRNA from 1 species